AGAGUUUGAUCCUGGCUCAGAACGAACGCUGGCGGCAGGCCUAACACAUGCAAGUCGAGCGCCCCGCAAGGGGAGCGGCGGACGGGUGAGUAACGCGUGGGAAUCUUCCCCGAGGUACGGAACAACUGAGGGAAACUUCAGCUAAUACCGUAUGAUGUCGAGAGACCAAAGAUUCAUCGCCUUGGGAUGAGCCCGCGUCAGAUUAGGUAGUUGGUGGGGUAACGGCCUACCAAGCCUGCGAUCUGUAGCUGGUCUGAGAGGACGAUCAGCCACACUGGGACUGAGACACGGCCCAGACUCCUACGGGAGGCAGCAGUGGGGAAUCUUGCGCAAUGGGCGAAAGCCUGACGCAGCCAUGCCGCGUGAGUGAAGAAGGUCUUAGGAUUGUAAAGCUCUUUCGCCCGUGACGAUGAUGACGGUAACGGGAGAAGAAGCCCCGGCUAACUUCGUGCCAGCAGCCGCGGUAAU
rnacentral:rRNA from 1 species